rnacentral:misc_RNA from 1 species
AGGCUGAUGACAUAUCUCACAAGUGAUAUCUCCUUUCUCAUUACACCAGUGCUGAACACACUUCCUAUGAGCAUACUUGAGGCUCCCGCUGCAGGCACAGGGAGUCUCCAAGUUGUUAACGGAAUCCUCUUCCUGGCAAAUGCGGCACUCGGAGACCUGAAUCAACGGCUCCUCUUCCUCCCCCCUUUCCUGGUAUUGGUUCCUCUGGUGGCCGGGACCAACAGCGUCGCUUCCCUCAUUGGGCGUGGAAGAAGAGGCCUCCGGAGCCAUCUGAGCAGCCGGGGGCCUCAUAAGGUGGUCGACGUACAACACGACGUGAUCACUCAUCAUGAAAAAUGAAAUCCUCCCCUAGGAAUUCUCCUCCAAAUAAAAUGAAAUGAAAGAAAAAAAAGAUAUUGAAUAAGGGACGGGAGAAAUAGGCUUAACAUUCAAGAGAAAAAGGAGUGAUAGAAACCUUAGAUCACGCUAUUGCAAACAGCGGAUCUCAGGUUUCCCAGAAAUUUCAAAGAGAGAGGAAAGAACAGAAAAAUAAGAGAGAGAAAGUAGAAUAAAGAAUUCUCCUGGGCAAGAAAAUUCUGUAUUUAU